UGGGGACGUGGCGCAGUGGGAGCGCGCUGCCUUGGCAUGGCAGAGGCCACGGGUUCGAAUCCCGUCGUCUCCACCAC
rnacentral:tRNA from 1 species